UUUUUUUUUUUUUUUUAAAUAUAUGCAGUAGCAUUCCACUUUCUGUUCCCUUUCUAUUCCUUCUUCAUUAGAGAAAUAUAUUAGGCCUGGCAAUUUCUAGUCAAUGACUAUAGGACUGGAGUCCUCCUAGGAACAGCAAGACCAGAAUGUCUUGUUUCUUAAUUUAACUACUAACUAGAUUCCUGGAGAACAGUUCAGCCUUUGUGUGCUCACUUUCCUUGUCAAAUAAACUUAGAUACUUCAAGGAGUUGCUCUGAGAAGUCACAAGAGGUCUGUCAAUAUCCUGUCUCCUCCUUCCCUGGUGGUGGUGGUGUGGGUCAAACUGAGACCUUCACACAUGCCAGGGAAGUGUCCUAUCAUUAAGACACCCCUCAGCCCCUGAAAUCCUGCACUAAAUUAUUACUGCUGUGAGGUCCCUCAGCUCCACUGCAGUAGUUCGAGGACUGAGUCAGUCUCCGAGGUCUUGUUCACAAUCUCCUGUCCUGUCCAUGGCAUCCCCUGACUAGGCUGCUUCCCUUAUCGAACAUCUAAGCAACCCAGACUUCCCUCGAACGAUUGGAAAAGCAGCGGAGCAGGUGGCAUGUAAGCAGCAAGCAGUUCUGUGCUUCUAGUUCUUGCUGUCGCUAGCAGUGUAAGGAGCCUAUUAUUACCAGCAAGUGGGAGGUCUUAUUGCUGUGGUUGGGUUUCAGAGACAGACACAGUUUGUCAAGAAGAGGAUGAAGCUGAUAAAGUUUGUGACGAGAGAGCCGGUUCUCAAGUUACGUGUGUGUGCAGCAGAACAGACGCUCGCAGGUCCAAGCCUGGAGUGGCGGUUCCUCUGAGUGGUUGAUAGUUUUAGUGGGGAUAUUUUGAAGAGGUCAGGAAAGCCUUGUUUGAACUGAAGUGUGGUUAUGCUGAUCAGCUGGGAGUCUCCAUCAGCUUGAAGAUGGCUUGAGAAUCCAGCACAGGUGUGAAUGCUGAGGCCGUAACUGUAGCUCUAAGAAGUCUAAGAAACAAGUGCCUUGGUCUAUGUGCAGUCUUCAAGGAUGACAUAAUUCUAAGAAAUGCUCUUGUGUGUCGUUACCUUAGCUAAUUCUUAGCUAAGAUAAAGUAGCAUAUGAAAGGACAGAACUCAGGAGCUAUGGCCACUAUAUCCUCUUUGUUAUAUUUAACACACAGAACCUAACACUUAAGAGCUAGAACUGUAGCAGUGAAUAAAAACAUAUAUGUGCAUGCCCUGAGCAAAGCACAGAAGUGCCUGCUUUGAAGUCUUUUGACAGGGCAUUGGCCAUUAGGAAGGUGGUUUCUUUGCCUAUAGUAGAACUAAUCUUGAAUGCAGGGUCCUGCCCUGGGUCUAAAACUUCUCUUAUUUUCAAUUCUUUUGAAAAUACAAACUGACAGGGUGGUUGGAACAAUAUUUCUUCUGGUCUGCUUCUG
rnacentral:lncRNA from 1 species